UUAAAUAAAAUAAUGCGACAUUUUAUAAAGUUCGGGUUCGAAAACAGGUUUGUAGGAGCUGGUGGGCCACUUAAAACGCAGACUGGGCUUGUGGGCCUUGGCCCAAGCCCACUUAAAACCUCAUCUAACCUAAGUAUUUAUAAGAAGUGAAAACCCUAAUGGUGUUCAUUUUCAUUAGCCGUUUAUUUCACUCCUUCCCAAAUUUCACCUUAUUCCAUAACCUCUCCUCAUAAUAUAAAGCCCCUUCUUGUACAAUAUACACCAAUCGACCACACACGGACACUCUCCACCUCUCGCUCAUCUCCCUCUCUCUCUCUCCAGCAAGUGGCCAACACCACUCCUGGUGGCGGCGACGGCGUCGGUUUUCCGGCAGCAAGGACGGUUGCAGAAAGUUGACGGAGGUGUGGGUGGUUUGCUUCAGGUUUGGGUUGGGUUGGGUUGGUGAUGGUGGACAAGGCGGUAAUGGACACGAAUGGCGGAGACGAGCUCCGGUCGUCGGAGAAUGGCGGAUGGAGGUGGUGACGAUCAGGCUUCACCCUCCGUUCAGAUCUGGUUUGGGUUCGGGUCACGUUCACUGGAGCCGCCCGUAAUCCGCGACGGAGUUUCAUUCCGUAACGAGUCGGACUAUGGAUAGAUGUUAUUCAAGAUCAAACACAAAAUAAAAGAAACAUGAACAGUUGGCUUGGCUGAGUCUCGUUGUUCGCUGGGUCUCUUAAGGAAGAAGAAGGAUAAUCUUUCCCACUCGUUCGGUUCCUCCAAUCUUCACUCGUGCGUUAUUUCAAGAAUUAUCAUACACAACCAAUGAUUGUGACAGAUGAAUCCAGUAGGAUUGCCUAGAAACGCAUUUAAACUUUAUUGCUCGUUGUAUUGUAAUUUACUUUUAAUCCUGUUGUAUUCUGGUUCCAAUACCUGUAAUAAUUGCUUAUUAAUGAAAUGAAAUAUAAUUAUUUGAAUA